rnacentral:rRNA from 1 species
AGUGAACGCUGGCGGUAGGCCUAACACAUGCAAGUCGAACGGCAGCACAGUAAGAGCUUGCUCUUACGGGUGGCGAGUGGCGGACGGGUGAGGAAUACAUCGGAAUCUACUUUUUCGUGGGGGAUAACGUAGGGACACUGACGCUAAUACCGCAUACGACCUACGGGUGAAAGCAAGAGAUCUUCGGGCCUUUCGUGAUAGAAUGAGCCGAUGCCGGAUUAGCUAGUUGGCAAGGUAAGGUACCACCAAGGCGACGAUCCGUAGCCGACCUGAGAGGAUGAUCGGCCACACUGGAACUGAGACACGGUCCAGACUCCUACGGGAGGCAGCAGUAGGGAAUCUUGCACAAUGGGCGAAAGCCUGAUGCAGCAACGCCGCGUGAGUGAUGAAGGUCUUCGGAUCGUAAAGCUCUUUUAUUGGGGAAGAACAUAUGUGUAAUUAACUGUGCACAUCUUGACGGUACCUAAUCAGAAAGCCCCGGCUAACUACGUG